GUUAAGAAUAGCAGCAAUACGACGGCUGUCUUCAUUAGCAACUCCAAUUAUGUCAGCUGUCACGAUUCCGUCUUUAAUAGCAAACUUUAUGCCUUUUCCAAACACAGAUGGAAUAGCGGCAAAUCUGGGAUAUUUUGUAUUUCUGUGACAUUUCCCUUCAUUUUGUUUAGGGGCCAUUGGAAGUUGAUCUAAAGAAAUGAAGUUUCGAAGCUGCUUCUUC